rnacentral:lncRNA from 1 species
UUGUUGAUCUAGAGGAUCAGUUUCUAAUGUUUCCUUCUCACUGCAAACAGAGAGUCAACCAGGUUUCACAGAAUAUUGUGUAGCAGCACAAUACACCAGCAUCCUUCUCUGAAGGUCCAUAAAGCCCUGGGACCGCCUAGAAGAACUGGCAGCUGAACUAUGAGUUAUGUUCAGGAUGAAGAUGAUGCUUGGACUGUAACUUCCAGAAUUUGUCAUUGAAGCAAACAGUUUCAGAAGAUGCAUAAGGAGAACACACAGAACAAUGGUGCGAGCUUUCCAGUCAGAAUUGGAAAGCAAAACAGGGAUUAAUUCUCAGCAACAAAAACGUAAAGAAGUGGAGUGGAACCCUGAGGAGCAGAUGGAGCUGGGAGAGAUGCAUGGAUAUAUCUACAUUGAGAACCCCUUGGAAUAUCUUUACUGUUAGGACAGAGUUGUCUUUGCUGUUGUAGGUUGCCAGAUGUUUAGAAGGGAGGCAGGUCAACCAUGAUCUACUGUUUAAGAGCAGCGUAGACUUAG